CUUUGCUCCCUCGAAUCUUCUUUGGUCGUGGCCGAGCAGUAGCUGAUUGGCCCGUCAUCUCUCCCUCCGUCGACCAGUUUCGCAUCCAGCCGCUGUCCAGCCCCCUUUUCUCUCUCUGGAUCGACGGGCAGCAGCUAAGCCGCCUGCUGCUGUUGCCGUUCUCGGACUUCACCGUCGAAAGUCUGUUGUCUCCGUCGAUUCUCCGAGCCCCGACGCCGCUGCUACCACUGGAAUCUUCGGCUUCGCCGUGUCACUGCACUCCAGAAUCGGUGAGCACCGCCGCUGCUGCGAUGCGAUUUCCGGCGAGCAGGGGAGAGUCCGCCGUUGCUGCUAUCUCCGGAGUCGAAGGUUCGAGCCACGCCACCAACUACAGCUGCUGUUUUUUUUUUUUUUUGUGCCGAGUCGCGGCCUGGAGUUCUAUCGCCGAACGUCGCCGCUUCGACAGUCCACUACCACUCAAUCUAAAGCUAAGUUCUCUAUUUUCAUUCUUCUUCUACUUCAAUAACUAGUUGUUAAGGGCAGAAUACUCAUGGUUUGUCGUUCUAAAGCGUAAAAUAACAGUGAAUGAAUCGACAUAGUUGUAAUGCCAUAGCUUGAACAUGUUGACAUGAAUGCUUGAUUGGAUUGAAAUUCGAGAUAGUAUAAUACCUUGAAUAUGAUCGAACUGAUUGAUGGCUGUGGAGUUGAAUGAAUGGAUGACUGAACUUAUUGAUUCUGGCAGGAGUGAAUGAGUGAUUUCUCUCACUUUUCGGUUGUGGUGUGGUGAAUGAACUGGAACUGAAAUAAAUUUGUGUUGUUGUCUCAGUGAUUGCGGGCUGAUUACAGGCGGAUAAUGGAAGAAAAUGGAAGAUUAUAGCAAAGCUUACCUUAAGAAUUUGGCUGGACGAAAUGGAGACUUCCUGCUCUUUGAAGAGGACUCACGGUGAAAAUGAUAGGAAAUGUUUUGUUUCUUGGCUGGAGUUGUGCAAAUAGAGGGAGAUGUGAGCUAAGUGGGAGAGUUAUUGAAUUAGCUUGAUUUAGUUGCAUAAUUGCGUGGUGGGGAAAAGUUGGGGGACAAAUUUAAUGGGAAGAAAAAGAGAAGAAAAAGAAAGG
rnacentral:lncRNA from 1 species